UACGGAGGGGGCUAGCGUUGUUCGGAAUUACUGGGCGUAAAGCGCACGUAGGCGGCUUUGUAAGUUAGAGGUGAAAGCCCGGGGCUCAACUCCGGAAUUGCCUUUAAGACUGCAUCGCUAGAACGUCGGGAGAGGUAAGUGGAAUUCCGAGUGUAGAGGUGAAAUUCGUAGAUAUCGGAAGAACACCAGUGGCGAAGGCGACUUACUGGACGACCGUUGAACGCUGAGGUGGCGAAAGCGUGGGGAGCAAACACGG
rnacentral:rRNA from 1 species